UACGUAGGGGGCGAGCGUUGUCCGGAGUUACUGGGCGUAAAGCGCACGCAGGCGGUCUGUUAAGUUUGGAGUGACAGUUGGUGGCUUAACUGCCAAAGUGCUUCGAAAACUGACAGACUUGAGGGCUUCAGAGGGACACGGAAUUCCGGGUGGAGUGGUGAAAUGCGUAGAGAUCCGGAGGAACACCAAAGGCGAAGGCAGUGUCCUGGGGGGUACCUGACGCUCAGGUGCGAAAGCCAGGGGAGCGAACGGG
rnacentral:rRNA from 1 species